ensembl:lncRNA
AAUGUUUUAAUAGACCACAUUUGCUGAAAAUAUUCCAUUGGCAAGAAGUUUGGGGAAGGAGAAUGCAGCUCCAUCUUUGAAGGGACCUGCAGUGAGGACCACCUUCAGGUGGCUGUAAAAUUCACAGCAGAAUUGGAAAACAAGCCGUACAUGAGCCUUGCCCCAGCUGUCACCACUGGACAAGCAGGACAAUCCCGACCAAUACAUCAUGGUCUUAGAGCAGCCCUUGCCCUCCAUUUUUGGCAGCAUUAUGACAGGCUCUUCAGUGAGGGGAUGACGUGUCAUUUCAUGCGGCAGGUGACUGAUACUGAUGCCAUGUGCUGUUCCAGGGGCAUCUUCCAUCAGGAGAUCAAUUGCAGAAUCUCCUUGUCAACAUAAACACACUGGAGGUCAUAUUGACUGAUUUUGGAUGUGGGGAAACGCUCGUCCUACAACUCCUAUAGU